rnacentral:rRNA from 1 species
UGCCAGCCGCCGCGGUAACACGUAGGCACCAAGCGUUAUCCGGAUUUAUUGGGCGUAAAGAGCUCGUAGGCGGUUCGGUAAGUCGGGUGUGAAAACUCUGAGCUCAACUCAGAGAGGCCACCCGAUACUGCUGUGACUAGAGUGCGGUAGGGGAGCGGGGAAUUCAUGGUGUAGCGGUGAAAUGCGCAGAUAUCAUGAGGAACACCAGUGGCGAAGGCGGCUCCCUGGCCAAAGACUGACGCUCAUGUGCGAAAGUGUGGGUAGCGAACAGGAUUAGAUA